rnacentral:rRNA from 1 species
AUUGAACGCUGGCGGCAUGCUUUACACAUGCAAGUCGAACGGUAACAGGUUAAGCUGACGAGUGGCGAACGGGUGAGUAAUGCAUCGGAACGUGCCCGAUCGUGGGGGAUAACGCAGCGAAAGCUGCGCUAAUACCGCAUACGAUCUGAGGAUGAAAGCGGGGGACCGUAAGGUCUCGCGCGAUCGGAGCGGCCGAUGUCAGAUUAGGUAGUUGGUGGGGUAAAGGCUCACCAAGCCAACGAUCGGUAGCUGGUCUGAGAGGACGACCAGCCACACUGGGACUGAGACACGGCCCAGACGCCUACGGGAGGCAGCAGUGGGGAAUUUUGGACAAUGGGCGAAAGCCUGAUCCAGCAAUGCCGCGUGCAGGAAGAAGGCCUUCGGGUUGUAAACUGCUUUUGUACGGAGCGAAAAGGCUCUCUCUAAUACAGGGGGCUCAUGACGGUACCGUAAGAAUAAGCACCGGCUAACUACGUGCCAGCAGCCGCCGUAA